rnacentral:rRNA from 1 species
GACGAACGCUGGCGGCGUGCUUAACACAUGCAAGUCGAACGGAAAGGCCCUGCUUGCAGGGUACUCGAGUGGCGAACGGGUGAGUAACACGUGGGUGAUCUGCCCUGCACUUCGGGAUAAGCCUGGGAAACUGGGUCUAAUACCGGAUAGGAGCCAUUUUUAGUGUGAUGGUUGGAAAGUUUUUUCGGGGUGGGAUGGGCUCGCGGCCUAUCAGCUUGUUGGUGGGGUAAUGGCCUACCAAGGCGGCGACGGGUAGCCGGCCUGAGAGGGUGGACGGCCACAUUGAGACUGAGAUACGGCCCAGACUCCUACGGGAGGCAGCAGUGGGGAAUAUUGCACAAUGGGCGCAAGCCUGAUGCAGCGACGCCGCGUGUGGGAUGACGGCCUUCGGGUUGUAAACUCCUUUCGCUAGGGACGAAGCUUUUUGUGACGGUACCUAGAUAAGAAGCACCGGCUAACUACGUG